rnacentral:rRNA from 1 species
GACGAACGCUGGCGGCGUGCUUAACACAUGCAAGUCGAACGGAAAGGCCCUGCUUUUGUGGGGUGCUCGAGUGGCGAACGGGUGAGUAACACGCGAGUAACCUGCCCUUGACUUUGGGAUAACUUCAGGAAACUGGGGCUAAUACCGGAUAGGAGCUCCUGCUGCAUGGUGGGGGUUGGAAAGUUUCGGCGGUUGGGGAUGGACUCGCGGCUUAUCAGCUUGUUGGUGGGGUAGUGGCUUACCAAGGCUUUGACGGGUAGCCGGCCUGAGAGGGUGACCGGCCACAUUGGGACUGAGAGACGGCCCAGACUCCUACGGGAGGCAGCAGUGGGGAAUAUUGCACAAUGGGCGGAAGCCUGAUGCAGCAACGCCGCGUGCGGGAUGACGGCCUUCGGGUUGUAAACCGCUUUCGCCUGUGACGAAGCGUGAGUGACGGUAAUGGGUAAAGAAGCACCGGCUAACUACGUG